rnacentral:rRNA from 1 species
UACGGGGGGGGCAAGCGUUGCUCGGAAUUACUGGGCGUAAAGGGCGCGUAGGCGGCUUUGCAAGUCGAGUGUGAAAUCCCCAGGCUCAACCUGGGAACUGCAUUCGAGACUGCAUAGCUAGAGUAUGGGAGAGGGAAGUGGAAUUUCAGGUGUAGCGGUGAAAUGCGUAGAUAUCUGAAGGAACAUCAGUGGCGAAAGCGACUUCCUGGACCAAUACUGACGCUCAUGUGCGAAAGCGUGGGGAGCAAACAGG